rnacentral:rRNA from 1 species
UACGGAGGGUGCAAGCGUUAUCCGGAUUCACUGGGUUUAAAGGGUGCGUAGGUGGGUUGGUAAGUCAGUGGUGAAAUCUCCGAGCUUAACUUGGAAACUGCCAUUGAUACUAUCAGUCUUGAAUACCGUGGAGGUCAGCGGAAUAUGUCAUGUAGCGGUGAAAUGCUUAGAUAUGACAUAGAACACCAAUUGCGAAGCAGCUGACUACGCGAAUAUUGACACUGAUGCACGAAAGCGUGGGGAUCAAACAGG